UUACGAUCAAAUCACGUUGAAACACCCGUUCUCGUACGAUCACUGAAGUUAAGCAACGUCUUGCGUGGCCUGUAUCUAGAUGGGUGACCACAAGUGCAUACUAGGUGUUGUAA